rnacentral:tRNA from 1 species
UGGUGUAUAGCCAAACUAGGUAAGGCACUGGUUUUUGACGCCAUUACUUAAAGGUUCGAAUCCUUUUACACCAG